rnacentral:rRNA from 1 species
ACCGCCUGAACUGAAACAUCUAAGUAGGGCGAGGAAGAGAAAUCAACCGAGAUUCCGCUAGUAGUGGCGAGCGAACGCGGAAGAGGCCAAACCGGAGGUAGCAAUAUUUCCGGGGUUAGGACUGCAACAUGUAACUUUAAUCUUUAACUGAAUGCUUUGGGAAGAGCAGCGAAACAGGGUGAUAGCCCCGUAAGUGAAAGAGAUUGAGUGCUAGCAGUAUCCAGAGUACCAGCGGACACGUGAAACCCGCUGGGAAGAUGGGGGGACCAUCCUCCAAGCCUAAAUACUACUCAGUGACCGAUAGUGGAGCAGUACCGUGAGGGAAAGGUGAAAAGUACCCCGGGAGGGGAGUGAAAGAGAACCUGAAACCUUGUGCCUACAAGCACCGAGAGCACGUUAAAGUGUGAUCGGGUACUUUUUGUAGAACGGUCCGGCGAGUUAAUAUUUGCAGCGAGGUUAAGUAACUGGAGUUACGGAGCCGCAGCGAGAGCGAGUCUGAAUAGGGCGUAUGAAGUUGCAGGUAUUAGACCCGAAACCGGGUGACCUAUCCAUGAGCAGGCUGAAGCGGUGGUAAGACACCGUGGAGGGCCGCACCCACGUCUGUUGAAAAAGCCGGGGAUGACUUGUGGAUAGCGGAGAAAUUCCAAUCGAACUCGGAGAUAGCUGGUUCUCCCCGAAAUAGCUUUAGGGCUAGCGUUAUUUUAGAUUACCGGAGGUAAAGCACUGAAUGGUCUAGGGGCCGCGAGGUUACCAAAGCCUAUCAAACUCUGAAUGCCGGAUAAUUGAUGAAUAGCAGUCAGACUGUGUGAGAUAAGUCUCAUAGUCAAAAGGGAAACAGCCCAGAUCUACAGCUAAGGUCCCAAAUGAACACUAAGUGGAAAAUGAUGUGAAACUGCGAAGACAACCAGGAUGUUGGCUUAGAAGCAGCCACUCAUUCAAAGAGUGCGUAAUAGCUCACUGGUCGAGUGAAUGUGCGCCGAAAAUAUACCGGGGCUAAACGUGAUACCGAAGUCUGGGGAUCAAGAAAUUGAUCGGUAGGGGAGCAACGCAUACGGACAGAAGCAGAAGCGGGAGCGACUGUGGACUGUAUGGGAGAGAGAAUGCCGGCAUGAGUAGCGAGAGCAAAGUGAGAAUCUUUGCCGUCGAAAGCCUAAGGUUUCCUGAGGAAGGCUCGUCCUCUCAGGGUAAGUCGGGACCUAAGCCGAGGACAAGAGUCGUAGGCGAUGGACAACAGGUUGAUAUUCCUGUACCGUACUUAAGCGAUUGACUGAAGCAGUGACACAGAAGGAUAGACAGACCGAGUGAAUGGAAGAACUCGGCCAAGCAGUGAGGCUGACAUGUAGUGAAGUACGCAUGUUAAGGCUGGGCUGUGAUGGGGACUGAAGAUUAGUAAGGAAGCUGUUGAAUUCACACUGGCGAGAAAAGCUGCUAAGGAGCGAGAGUAUGCCCGUACCGCAAACCGACACAGGUAGGCGAGGAGAGAAUCCUAAGACGAGCGGGAGAACCCUUGUUAAGGAACUCGGCAAAAUGACUCCGUAACUUAGGGAGAAGGAGUGCCUCGAGAGAGGCCGCAGAGAAUAGGCCCAAGCGACUGUUUACCAAAAACACAGGUCUGUGCGAAGUAGAGAUACGACGUAUACGGGCUGACGCCUGCCCAGUGCCGGAAGGUUAAGGGGAAGUGUUAGGGCAACCGAAGCACGGAACUUAAGCCCCGGUGAACGGCGGCCGUAACUAUAACGGUCCUAAGGUAGCGAAAUUCCUUGUCGGGUAAGUUCCGACCCGCACGAAUGGUGUAACGAUCUGGGCACUGUCUCAACUACCCACCCGGCGAAAUUGUAGUACCGGUGAAGAUGCCGGUUACCUGCGGCAAGACGGAAAGACCCCAUGGAGCUUUACUGUAGCCUGAUAUUGGGUUUCGGAAAUCUAUGUACAGGAUAGGCGGGAGACUUGGAAACAUGAGCGUCAGCUUGUGUGGAGUCGAUGUUGGGAUACCGCCCUUAGGUUUCUGGAAUUCUAACCUGCGGCCGUGAAUCCGGUCGGGGGACAUUGUCAGGUGGGCAGUUUGACUGGGGCGGUCGCCUCCGAAAAGGUAACGGAGGCGCUCAAAGGUUAGCUCAGCACGGACGGAAACCGUGCCUCUGAGUGUAAACGCAAAAGCUAGCCUAACUGCGAGGGUGACGGCCCGAGCAGUAACGAAAGUUGGAGUUAGUGAUCCGGCGGUAUGUGAAUGGAAAUGCCGUCGCUCAACGGAUAAAAGCUACCCUGGGGAUAACAGGCUGAUCUCCCCCAAGAGUCCACAUCGACGGGGAGGUUUGGCACCUCGAUGUCGGCUCAUCACAUCCUGGGGCUGUAUUCGGUCCCAAGGGUUCGGCUGUUCGCCGAUUAAAGUGGUACGCGAGCUGGGUUCAGAACGUCGUGAGACAGUUCGGUCCCUAUCUGUCGUGGGCGCAGGAUAUUUGAGAGGCGCUGUCCCUAGUACGAGAGGACCGGGAUGGACGCACCUCUGGUGCACCAGUUGUCACGCCAGUGGCACAGCUGGGCAGCUAUGUGCGGAACGGAUAAACGCUGAAGGCAUCUAAGCGUGAAGCCGCCCUUAAGAUAAGAUAUCCCUUCUGUUUACAGAGUAAGACCCCUUGAAGACUACAAGGUUGAUAGGCUCAAAGUGUAAGCACGGUGACGUGUUUAGCUAGCGAGUACUAAUCGGUCGAGGGCUUAACCU